rnacentral:rRNA from 1 species
AGAGUUUGAUCCUGGCUCAGGAUGAACGCUGGCGGCGUGCUUAACACAUGCAAGUCGAGCGAGAUUUUAUAAAAUUACUUUUCGAAGGAAGUUUUAUAGAUAAAGCGGCGGACGGGUGAGUAACGCGUAGGCAACCUACCUUAUACAAAGGGAUAGCCUCGGGAAACUGGGAUUAAUACCUUAUAAUACUUUGGGAUCGCAUGAUCCUAAAGUCAAAGAUUUAUCGGUAUAAGAUGGGCCUGCGUCUGAUUAGCUAGUUGGUGGGGUAACGGCCUACCAAGGCAACGAUCAGUAGCCGACCUGAGAGGGUAAUCGGCCACAUUGGAACUGAGACACGGUCCAGACUCCUACGGGAGGCAGCAGUGGGGAAUAUUGCACAAUGGGCGAAAGCCUGAUGCAGCAACGCCGCGUGAGCGAUGAAGGCCUUCGGGUCGUAAAGCUCUGUCGUGAGAUGGGAAAGAAUGACGGUACAAUAAGAGGAAGCCACGGCUAACUACGUGCCAGCAGCCGCGGUAAUACGUAGGUGGCAAACGUUGUCCGGAAUUACUGGGCGUAAAGGGCGAGUAGGUGGUUUGCUAAGUCAAAAGUGAAAGGCUACGGCUUAACCGUAGUAAGCCUUAGGAACUGUAAGUCUUGAGUGCAGGAGAGGAAAGCGGAAUUCCUAGUGUAGCGGUGAAAUGCGUAGAUAUUAGGAGGAACACCAGUGGCGAAGGCGACUUCCUGGCUUGUAACUGACACUGAGGCGCGAAAGCGUGGGGAGCAAACAGGAUUAGAUACCCUGGUAGUCCACGCCGUAAACGAUGAGUGCUAGGUGUAGAGGGUAUCGACCCCUUCUGUCGCAGCUAACGCAAUAAGUAUCCCACCUGGGGAGUACGGCCGCAAGGUUGAAACUCAAAGGAAUUGACGGGGGCCCGCACAAGCGGUGGAGCAUGUGGUUUAAUUCGACGCAACGCGAAGAACCUUACCAGGGCUUGACAUCCUACGAAUCCUUAGGAAACUAGGGAGUGCCCUUCGGGGGAACAUCUAGACAGGUGGUGCAUGGUUGUCGUCAGCUCGUGUCGUGAGAUGUUGGGUUAAGUCCCGCAACGAGCGCAACCCUUGUCAUUAGUUGCUACGCAAGAGCACUCUAAUGAAACUGCCGUUGACAAAACGGAGGAAGGUGGGGAUGACGUCAAAUCAUCAUGCCCCUUAUGACCUGGGCAACACACGUACUACAAUGGCCGAUAACAACGGGAAGCAAUACAGCGAUGUGGAGCCAAUCCCAAAAAUCGGUCUCAGUUCGGAUUGCAGGCUGCAACUCGCCUGCAUGAAGCCGAAAUCGCUAGUAAUCGCAGGUCAGCAUACUGCGGUGAAUACGUUCCCGGGCCUUGUACACACC